GACAGAGGGUGCAAACGUUGCUCGGAAUCACUGGGCGUAAAGGGCGUGUAGGCGGGACGGUAAGUCGGGCGUGAAAUCCCUAGGCUCAACCUAGGAACUGCACUCGAAACUACCAUUCUUGAGUGUCGGAGAGGAAAGCGGAAUUCCUGGUGUAGAGGUGAAAUUCGUAGAUAUCAGGAGGCACACCAGUGGCGAAGGCGGCUUUCUGGACGAUAACUGACGCUGAGACGCGAAAGCGUGGGGAGCGAACAGG
rnacentral:rRNA from 1 species